AGCGAACGCUGGCGGCAUGCUUAACACAUGCAAGUCGAACGGGCAUAGCAAUAUGUCAGUGGCAGACGGGUGAGGAACGCGGGGGAACGUACCUUUUGGUUCGGAACAACACAGGGAAACUUGUGCUAAUACCGGAUAAGCCCUUACGGGGAAAUAUUUAUCGCCGAAAGAUGGGCCCGCGUCUGAUUAGCUAGUUGGUAGGGUAAUGUCCUACCAAGGCGACGAUCAUUAGCUGGUCUGAGAGGAUCAUCAGCCACAUUGGUACUGAGACACGGUACAAAAUCCUCCGGGAGGCGGCAGUGCCGAAUGGUGCAAAACCGGGGAAAGGCUGAUGGAGUUAUGACGCGUGAACGCUGAAAGUCGUAGGGUUGAAAAGCUUUUGUGUCUGGGCAGAUCAUGACGGUACCGAAACAAUAAGCCACGGCUAACUUCGUG
rnacentral:rRNA from 1 species